CUUAAGCAUAUCAAUAAGCGGAGGAAAAGAAACCAACAGGGAUUGCCCCAGUAACGGCGAGUGAAGCGGCAACAGCUCAAAUUUGAAAUCUGGCGCAAGCCCGAGUUGUAAUUUGUAGAGGAUGCUUCUAGGUAGCGACCGGUCCAAGUUCUUUGGAACAGGACGUCAUAGAGGGUGAGAACCCCGUAUGUGACCGGCCCGCACCUUCCACGUAGCUCCUUCGACGAGUCGAGUUGUUUGGGAAUGCAGCUCUAAAUGGGAGGUAAAUUUCUUCUAAAGCUAAAUACCGGCCAGAGACCGAUAGCGCACAAGUAGAGUGAUCGAAAGAUGAAAAGCACUUUGGAAAGAGAGUUAAAAAGCACGUGAAAUUGUUGAAAGGGAAGCGCUUACGACCAGACUUCUGGGCGGUGUUCCGCCGGUCUUUUGACCGGUCCACUCGCCGUCCCGAGGCCAACAUCAUCUAGGACCGCCGGAAAAGACCUCGGGAAUGUAGCUCCCCUCGGGGAGUGUUAUAGCCCGUGGUGAUGCGGCGCGUCUUGGGUGAGGUCCGCGCUUCGGCAAGGAUGUUGGCGUAAUGGUCGUCAGCGGCCCGUCUUGAAACACGGACCAAGGAGUCUAACAUCUAUGCGAGUGUUUGGGUGUCAAACCCCUACGCGUAAUGAAAGUGAACGGAGGUGGGAAGGGCGACCUGCACCAUCGACCGAUCCUGAUGUCCUCGGAUGGAUUUGAGUAAGAGCAUAACUGUUGGGACCCGAAAGAUGGUGAACUAUGCCUGAAUAGGGUGAAGCCAGAGGAAACUCUGGUGGAGGCUCGCAGCGGUUCUGACGUGCAAAUCGAUCGUCAAAUUUGGGUAUAGGGGCGAAAGACUAAUCGAACCAU
rnacentral:rRNA from 1 species